AAAAAAGUCCCCCUAUUUUUGUAUUCUUCAAAUUUUAAUGAAAAGAUUUUUUGGUAAAAUUUUGACAUUAUUGGUGAAUGUUAAACGAGAUGUCUUCUUAUUGCGUUAUUUCAUUAUUAAUUUGUUUUGUCUUGCCUUUACUCCUGUGCACCAGACUUUGUUCACUUAAAAUAAAUAAAUAAACGAAAUAAAAUAGAAAUAAAGAAAUAUUGAAAAGAAACAAAGCUACUUAUCAAGAGGUGUGGCUAUCAGGAGGCAUAGUUAACAGGAGGUGUGGUUAUCGGGGUAUAUGGUUAUCAGGAGGUGUGGCUAUCAGGGGGUGUGGUUAUCAGGGGGUGUGGCUAUCAGGAGGCAUAGUUAACAGGAGGUGUGGCUAUCAGGGGGUGUGGUUAUCAGUUAAUAGUGGGAGUAACGGAUCAUCCCAUAAUAACAUUAAAUAUUCAUUAACCUUUUAUCUUAAUUCAGGUUUUUACUCACGAAAAAAACAUUCUGUGUUUUUCCUCGAAAUAG
ensembl:lncRNA